UUGUGGACAGGUAGUUGAGGGUCUAGUGCCCAACAACACGUCUCUCCCACUGAUCGGAGCGAAGACACAAAGAAACAAAAAAUAAAUAAAAAUCCCUUUUUUAUUUUGUUCUUUCAGAGAUAAUCGAUCGAGCUCAAGAAUUCCUCCUCAAUUUCUCGAUUUGGAGUCCGGAGAUCGAGAAGAGGUAGCGGCGGCUGCUGCUCUCUUCCUGUAAUGGAGGAGAAGGUUCAGAUGAGUGAGGUGCUCGAGGCCCUCAAGAAGGCUUCCAAGGACAUUGAGGCCAACCCCGGCAAGGGCGGCGGCGGCGGCGGUAGUGAUUUUGCUUCUCCUUCCAUGAAAGUUCUCCUCGAGCUUUCUACUGGCUCUGACGAUCUCCUCUCCGGUGAUCCCCGUCUCUCCACCCUCUCUGACCUCCUUUCCAGCUUCAAGUCGCUCGUUUUUUCCCUUAAGUCUGGUUCGUGCCAGAAGGGUAAAGGUGGGAUUUUGGGAUCGAUCCUCCGCCGGCGACCGAGCAAGAGCGACGAGAUAUCGAGGGUGGCCGGAUCCAUCGGCGCCGAAAUCCAGUCGUGGAUCUAUCGGGUCAACGCGGAUCGACUCGUCUCCGCUCUGCUGUCCGCCGAGAAACGCGACGUGGAGGAGCAAGCGCUGCUGCUUCGCGCCAUGGAGUUGCGCGUCUCCCAGGGAUUUGACCGCGGCCUGCAGGAGGUGCUCCUCCGUUACGGGGUCUUCGCCGCCGUGGAGUCCGCUCUCGCCGACGCCCUGGCGCCGAAGCUGGUCCGGGAGCGAGCGGCCGCGGCGGUGCUCGCUCUGGUCCGCUUCAACAAGGCCGUCUUCGUGGGCCCUGUUCUGAUGGGCCCCACGGUGGACGCGCUCGUCUCCAUGUCCUCUACCUCCGCCGCCGCGCUACGCGCUCUGAACGGGCUCAUCGCGGCCAUACGGAGCCCGCUGGUGGACGAGCUCCAAGCCCGAAGGGCGAUUCCGCGGUUGGUCGCCCUCCUCGGCAGCGGGGAGGGCGGCGCGGUCAGCAUGGAGGUGCGCGUGCUGGCGCUCGACUGCGUUCUGGAGAUCGGCUAUUUCGGCCGGAAGGAGGCCAACGACGCGAUGCUCGCCCAAGGGCUGAUCAAGCGCCUGGCGGCGCUCCAAAGGUCGGACCUUGGCGGCACCCUGCUCGAGAUAGACGCAAGCGGAGGCUGCGGGGUGCCCGUCGGGUGGCUGUGGUACGGACGGGCCGGAGCAGACGAGCGGCGGUUCCUGGAGACCCGUCCGUUCGCCAGCUGCGUCGCGCGCUGGGCGGUGCAGGUAGAGGUCGGCGAGGGGCUGCGGCAGCGGGAGAAGCGGGAGAUAAAGCGACAGGUGGUGGAGAGGGUGAAGGAGGCCGCCGCCUCCGAGGCGGAGUCGGCCACAUUGCUGGCGGAGGUGCUGUGGGGUUCCACCAUAUGGUAAACAACAAAGCACAUCACAUUGCACCUGUAGAAAUGGCGGCACAAGCAGAAAGCUCGAGGAUCAUAAUAAGCUCAAGGAUUGGAAGAUAGACUAGUACAAGUUUUUGCUCUCAGAAUUUCCUUUUUGAUCAGCCAUCUUCCAUGACAUUAACAUUAAGAUCUCUGUCAAACUCUCUCAGCCCUAAUGUAGGGUUUCAGUAGAACAGAAUGGGGUUUACAUCCACCAUGAGAAUCCAGAAAGCUACCAGUCAUGUGUUAGGCUCUUCCUAUCUCAUCUUGAAGCUUGCACUUGCCAUUGUUGAGUUGGCAAAUUGCUAAAGAGCGGCACAGGGAAAAUUCGAAAGAACUGUCUUUGUCGACGGCAUGACAACGGUUGGUCCAUCGCCAGAUUCAAAGUGAAGCAUUGCAUUUGAUGAAAAACUCUUGCACAAUUUUUGUUCUCCAGAUUGGAUCAGUGUGGACUUUUUAUGAUUUCGGAAGAGUGACCUUAAACUUUGCAUCUUCAGUUCACUGAAUGAAACAUGCAUCAGUUUAUAUGUAUCCUCAGUUCUAUCAUUUUGGGAAAGUUGCAUCGAAUGGUUCUCAGUUUUAAGGUCAUCGUCUUGUCGUGCCAUUUCCUUACCACGAGCAUAUGCGAAGGUUAGAUCUGCUUUACGAGCGAAGGGCAAUUGAAACAUGGAUCAUACUGAAUGCCGGUGCGCAGAAUUAGUGUGAAGGAGAUCUUCACACUCUUUUUAUGUGAAGAGCUGCUUAGAAUUGUUGAAUUGUGUUGAAAGAAACUUCAUGCAUUUGAAUGUGAAGACUUCUUUUGCCCUAAUUUUAUCCUAUUUAUGAGGAAAAUGUCCGGCACGGAUAGUAAUCUUUGAAACUUGAUCUAAACACCAUUCGACCUUAUUGUAAUAGUAUGUGUUGAAUCCAUUUAUCUAUAAUACGAAUGAAAACCUUGCUUUA